rnacentral:misc_RNA from 1 species
UUUCUUCAGACAGUAUAAUCUUCCAAUACUUCUUUCAUGAUUAUUCGUAUGUGAUAUAUUUCUUUGUCUACCUGUACCGCUUACACCGUGAAACUGCGUAGCAAAAGAAAAAAAGAAAAAAACGGGAACGAGGAAAAAAGAAAGCCAAAAAGGAUAGAAUUUCAACGGUAAAGUGGAAUUUUUAUUGUUUAUUUGAUGCGUUGUCGCGCUGCAGUUCAGCUAACGCUACAGUUUGUGUUGCUAUGGAAAUCGUUUGCCGGAAAUGUGGCUCGUAUUUCCGGCCAGACAGAUCAUCCGUAUGUUACUAUACUAAUACGAUUAUUCGAGAAUAAUGAAAGAAAAUUGUGAAGGUCUGAAUUUAAUAACAAUGUAACGUAAACCUCUUUUCCUUCCUUAUUUCUGGCCCGCAACUAUCCAUGAGAAGAUCUUCAUUCGA